GAUGAACGCUGGCGGCGUGCCUAAUACAUGCAAGUCGAGCGAAUGGAUUAAGAGCUUGCUCUUAUGAAGUUAGCGGCGGACGGGUGAGUAACACGUGGGUAACCUGCCCAUAAGACUGGGAUAACUCCGGGAAACCGGGGCUAAUACCGGAUAACAUUUUGAACCGCAUGGUUCGAAAUUGAAAGGCGGCUUCGGCUGUCACUUAUGGAUGGACCCGCGUCGCAUUAGCUAGUUGGUGAGGUAACGGCUCACCAAGGCAACGAUGCGUAGCCGGCCUGAGAGGGUGACCGGCCACACUGGGACUGAGAUACGGCCCAGACUCCUACGGGAGGCAGCAGUGGGGAAUUUUGCACAAUGGGCGCAAGCCUGAUGCAGCGACGCCGCGUGAGGGAUGACGGCCUUCGGGUUGUAAAACUCUGUUGUUAGGGAAGAACAAGUGCUAGUUGAAUAAGCUGGCACCUUGACGGUACCUAACCAGAAAGCCACGGCUAACUACGUGCCAGCCGCCGCUGUAA
rnacentral:rRNA from 1 species